rnacentral:rRNA from 1 species
GGGGGGAAUCUUAGACAAUGGGCGCAAGCCUGAUCUAGCCAUGCCGCGUGAGCGAUGAAGGCCUUAGGGUUGUAAAGCUCUUUCGUGGGGGAAGAUAAUGACUGUACCCCAAGAAGAAGCCCCGGCUAACUCCGUGCCAGCAGCCGCGGUAAUACGGAGGGGGCUAGCGUUGUUCGGAAUUACUGGGCGUAAAGCGCACGUAGGCGGACUGGAAAGUCAGGGGUGAAAUCCCGGGGCUCAACCCCGGAACUGCCUUUGAAACUCCCAGUCUUGAGUUCGAGAGAGGUGAGUGGAAUUCCGAGUGUAGAGGUGAAAUUCGUAGAUAUUCGGAGGAACACCAGUGGCGAAGGCGGCUCACUGGCUCGAUACUGACGCUGAGGUGCGAAAGCGUGGGGAGCAAACAGGAUUAGAAACCCCAGUAGUCC